CUAAGAAUCUUCCGCAAUGGGGGAAACCCUGACGGCGCGACGCCGCGUGGACGAUGAAGGCCGUAAGGUUGUAAAGUCCUUUUGCAGGAGAAGAAUAAGGCGGGGAGUGGAAAGCCCCGCCGAUGACGUUAUCCUGCGAAUAAGCCCCGUCCAAUUACGUGCCAGCAGCCGCGGUAAUACGUAUGGGGCGAGCGUUGUUCGGAGUUAUUGGGCGUAAAGGGCGUGUAGGCGGCACGACAAGUCUGGUGUGAAAUUGCAGGGCCCAACCCUGCAGGUGCGCUGGAAACUGUCGAGCUGGAGUCCCGGGGGGGAAGCUGGAAUUCCUGGUGUAGGAGUGAAAUCUGUAGAGAUCAGGAAGAACACCGGUGGCGAAGGCGAGCUUCUAUUCGAGGACUGACGCUGAGGCGCGAAAGCGUGGGGAGCAAACAG
rnacentral:rRNA from 1 species